AUUGAACGCUGGCGGCGUGCUUAACACAUGCAAGUCACGGGGGCCCGCAAGGGUAACCGGCGAACGGGUGCGUAACACGCGAACAAUCUGCCUAGAUGUGGGGGAUAGCCGGCCCAACGGCCGGGUAAUACCGCAUACGCUCUUCGGGUGGCAUCACUUGAAGAGGAAACCUCCGGGGCAUCUAGAGGAGUUCGCGGCCUAUCAGCUAGUUGGUGGGGUAACGGCCUACCAAGGCAAUGACGGGUAGCUGGUCUGAGAGGAUGGCCAGCCACAUUGGGACUGAGAUACGGCCCAGACUCCUACGGGAGGCAGCAGUGGGGAAUAUUGCGCAAUGGCCGAAAGGCUGACGCAGCGACGCCGCGUGGGGGAUGAAGCAUUUCGGUGUGUAAACCCCUGUUGCUCGGGACGAACAAGCGAUUUCGAUCGCUCUGACGGUACCGGGUGAGGAAGCACCGGCUAACUCCGUGCCAGCCGCCGCAGUAA
rnacentral:rRNA from 1 species